rnacentral:rRNA from 1 species
UUGCUUCUCUUGAGAGCGGCGGACGGGUGAGUAAUGCCUAGGAAUCUGCCUGGUAGUGGGGGAUAACGUUCGGAAACGGACGCUAAUACCGCAUACGUCCUACGGGAGAAAGCAGGGGACCUUCGGGCCUUGCGCUAUCAGAUGAGCCUAGGUCGGAUUAGCUAGUUGGUGGGGUAAUGGCUCACCAAGGCGACGAUCCGUAACUGGUCUGAGAGGAUGAUCAGUCACACUGGAACUGAGACACGGUCCAGACUCCUACGGGAGGCAGCAGUGGGGAAUAUUGGACAAUGGGCGAAAGCCUGAUCCAGCCAUGCCGCGUGUGUGAAGAAGGUCUUCGGAUUGUAAAGCACUUUAAGUUGGGAGGAAGGGUUGUAGAUUAAUACUCUGCAAUUUUGACGUUACCGACAGAAUAAGCACCGGCUAACUCUGUGCCAGCAGCCGCGGUAAUACAGAGGGUGCAAGCGUUAAUCGGAAUUACUGGGCGUAAAGCGCGCGUAGGUGGUUUGUUAAGUUGGAUGUGAAAUCCCCGGGCUCAACCUGGGAACUGCAUUCAAAACUGACUGACUAGAGUAUGGUAGAGGGUGGUGGAAUUUCCUGUGUAGCGGUGAAAUGCGUAGAUAUAGGAAGGAACACCAGUGGCGAAGGCGACCACCUGGACUAAUACUGACACUGAGUGCGAAAGCGUGGGGAGCAAACAGGAUUAGAUACCCUGGUAGUCCACGCCGUAAACGAUGUCAACUAGCCGUUGGAAGCCUUGAGCUUUUAGUGGCGCAGCUAACGCAUUAAGUU